CAACAAUGCAUUUAAUCAAAGUUAUGAGAUUUUACUGCAAAUUAGUUUCUUAAAAUAUAAGAUGCCUUAUUGCUUUUGUUACAUCCAUGGCAUAUCACUGAUUUAAUGAGCUUGCUUCCCAUAAAGCUGUGACAUCAUAAAAGUUGCAGUUCUAAGAAGAGUAUUGUGAUUGAUUUUGAACAGAGUCACAGUGGAAGGCCACCUGGGAG